AUUGAACGCUGGCGGCAUGCCUUACACAUGCAAGUCGAACGGCAGCACGGGUGCUUGCCCCUGGUGGCGAGUGGCGAACGGGUGAGUAAUACAUCGGAACAUGUCCUGUAGUGGGGGAUAGCCCGGCGAAAGCCGGAUUAAUACCGCAUACGAUCUACGGAUGAAAGCGGGGGACCUUCGGGCCUCGCGCUAUAGGGUUGGCCGAUGGCUGAUUAGCUAGUUGGUGGGGUAAAGGCCUACCAAGGCGACGAUCAGUAGCUGGUCUGAGAGGACGACCAGCCACACUGGGACUGAGACACGGCCCAGACUCCUACGGGAGGCAGCAGUGGGGAAUUUUGGACAAUGGGCGAAAGCCUGAUCCAGCAAUGCCGCGUGUGUGAAGAAGGCCUUCGGGUUGUAAAGCACUUUUGUCCGGAAAGAAAUCCUUGGCCCUAAUACGGUCGGGGGGAUGACGGUACCGGAAGAAUAAGCACCGGCUAACUACGUG
rnacentral:rRNA from 1 species